CUGAAAGAGUAGGGGGUGUGGAUUUCUACUAGGAGUAACCACUGGGAAGGAAGUAAUGUUCAUUAAGUGUGCAGGCAGUGCAGGACUAAGCAUGCUCAGUGAAAAAGCUUUUCUCCCUUGCCUGUCAAGCCCUGUGUUUGAACUCAUUCCAGAAUGCCGGAUUUACUUUUCACGAAGAAGCAGUACCUGGCCAGACCGCAUUUUUCUCGCUCUCCUUGGUCAUGGGAAGAUUGGAAACAAUAUUCUUUUGAUGCUCAGUGCACUCAGCCUGCGUGCGUGUGCGGCUGUGGCAGUGGAGGAGGAGGACAAACUUUGCUACCUGUGAGACGAAGGCUGGUAGCACUGGAAAUGAAAAGAGUUCCAUUUACGAUGUUGUUCUCAGGCUCUGUAAAUGAACGCCUUGAUGACUUCAUUGGCAAUUCCUCAUGGACAAGAAGGAGAAAGGGUCAUCUGAGUUCUCCUGAAGAUGGGAGGCAGGGCCAGACAGGCCCCAACAACGUUCCUAAGGCACAGAAUGUCACCUGCCGCCUCUUCUCCUCCUACAGCUCCACACCGAGGUUCAGGUGAACGUUGGCUGAGAGAGAAGGAAUAAAGCAGUGAGUUUUACAGCAACCCAGCACAGAAGGCAUGAUCUGUCAGCACUGGUGAAGUCCUUUCUCUGAACCAGACAACAGAAGCUGCUUUCCUAGUUCAUGGUUGCUCCUUUCCACUGGCAAAACAACCUCAGGGGAUCUGCUUUCAGUUUUAUCAUUUCACCUGAGCAGAAAUUUGGGAAAGUGGUUUAAUGUCAGCUAGUGUGUUUUAAUGGAGGCCUGGAAGAAGAAGCAAAAACCUUCCUGUGUCCACUUGUUUCUUAGGUACACCGCAUUGCCCACAGCCAGCCUCGCCACUCCCAGAGAGAGUUUGUCUGGGGAAACCAAGGCAGUGAAAGUAUUGAGUUGCUCCUGACGACCUGGUGAGUCAUAUCUUGGAUCUUGGGUUUGGGCUCAGGAUUUGCUGGCUCUUGUGCUUCUUUGCGUUUUUUCAGACCGUGCUGAGUCAAACUUCCUUCUGAUUGUAGUAACUUUGAUACAGAGGGACGUGUAUUUAAUAUUCACACAUGUAUUUUAUUUUUGUGCCUGUUGACUCCAUGUGUGUGUAAACAACAACAGAAAGAAAACGUGACUAUGUAUAUGCACGUGUCAUUUCUUAUCUGUUCCUAAAAUACAGGUGUCUCUGGGGGAAACCAGUUCUGAAGGUGUUUAUUGUACAAUGGUUCAGGAAGUUGAGAGGAUUAUAUUCUCUUCUGUGGUUUCCCAUGCUGGGCAGCUCGUUUCACCUCAAAAAUUAGCAUCGUAGUCUGGUUCACAGAAGACCCCAAUAUUUUUAGUAGUCAUAGGAAAGAAUGUGGUCCACUGGGACGGAGCAGGAGGCUGUGGAUCAGGACUCAGGGUUUGGUUGUCUUUUUCUACUUAUUUUAUGGCCUGGGACUGUUCUUAUCACUCUUCUGUGCCUCUGUUUCAUAGCAAAACAGGACUAGUAACAUUGAGUUACCUUGCAUAGAACAAUUAAAAGUUGAAAAUGAUGUUUGGAGACCCUUUACUAGCCUUUGGCAUCAGAGAAAUAGAGCAGUUGCAAGAUGUAUUCUUGUGGUUUGGCUUUAUUAAUAACGUGAACUCCUUCUGAUAUUGUACCAAUGAAAUGAAGCUGGGAAACAAACCAGAAGCAGAUAAAGACAGAAGUUGAAAUCCUUCAUGAACAGUUACACAACAUACUAAGAAAGGAUGGCUGUAUUCUUGGAUUGUAAAAAUUCUGAAGUGCAUACAGAAAAUAGUUUUUCUUUGAAACAAAAAUUAGAAGAACAGUGACAUUCCAGGGUGCUUUGAAGUGAGACAAAUCUGAAAAGAGAGGUGCUGGGAAUUACGCAGACAUUUCAAAAUGAAAAGUUGAAAAAUGAAUUUGAACAAAACCUUUUGGCUCACAGCGGGUUUUCUUGACUCCUCCUCCUUUGCCAGCUAUGCCAGACUGCUGGUAAAUGGCAGCCUGAAAGCCUUGAGGUCCAAGUGGUGAGCCAGAAACAGACAUACCAUGAGCAGGACUGGGGUGUGAACAGCAGUGAGCUCCAGCUUUGUUUCCUUUGCCAGCAGUGCUGCGUGCGGCCACUGGGGCUGUGCAGAAUGUCUCAGUAUUGCUGUGGGACACAAACAGCAGAAGGUGUCUGAGCACUCUGUAUCCCUGGGAAAGGCGUAGAGGCUUUAUUUCCUUCCCUAUGUUUGCUGUCUGCUCAUCCAUUAGGCUUAUAUCCAAAUGUUUCUUAUUGUUGCUCCCCUAGGCUGAGCCUGCUGCCUGGUGGGGGUGAAGAAAUGCGCAUCCAUCCUUUUUUCUUGUUGCAGACUCACCAACAAGGCCAUUCAGGACUGAAUGCAUUUCCAGAUCUCCUUUUGGCAGCUGGAUGAGAAAGGAAUGCCACCACAAAGGAGGGAUCGCUGAGGCGAGGCUGAAGUUGUAUUCAAAGGCAACAGCAGUGCUGUGCAUUGCAGAUGUCGUAGAAUCACCACCGUGAUCAGUCAGCCUCUUCCCUGGAGUGACUCUGAGUUCUGUGACGAGGCAGCUCCAGCUCUCCCACUCGCUGACCCUCCCGGCAGCACAACUGCAACAGGACGUGGUGAUUUACAAGGACGGGGCCAGCAGGAAAUUCCUACCUCCACCCCCCGGAGUAAGGAGGAAGCCGAAGCAGAGCCAUGACUGAGUCACUCCUGAGUCACUGCGGACGCGGUUCCUGGGGUGGUGCUGGGCUCCCCAGCCCUGCUGCACAGCUGGAGUCAGCGUGCGCUGCUGCGCCGCUGCUGGCCGUGAUGGCAGGGAGACGUGGGAGGCUGCGUGGAAGGAAUGGCCAGAUUGGGUUAAUGCUCUUCUUUAAUACACGAAUAAACAACUUAUGGCAGGUGCCUGGCAGGUUAGGGUAAUCAACAGGGUAUUUAUUUGGGAUCAGAAAAUACACUCGGUGAAACAAAUCUCUCUUCUGUGUUUGGCUUACCGCAGGCUCGCUGAAAUUGGACUGGGUCAUUUGCUGUCUAGUCACAGAUAAUAAAUCAAAGGGCUGAAGAAACUGCAAGAGAAAGGGCAUGAACUGACCAAACAUUUAGCUUAUUGUAGUAAGCAUCAGCCUGGCCAAAGUGAAACUUUCCCAGCAAAUUUUCACUUAUCUCAAAUCCAGUUAUUCCCCGUGGGCUGCUGAGCUCAGUAAAUAGAGGUCACUUUACCUUGACCAAACAAUGACUUUGCUAUAGUUGGUGCCAGCUAUGUAACAGUUACAAAAUGUGCUUUAAAGGCUUGCUGGUCGCAGGCUGCCAGGGUGAAUGAACCAGUCAGUCUGGUCGCUGUGGGCAGGAUUUAGGAUGCUUAGUGAGAUGGAGCUGUGGUCGGAUCAGCUGAUCCUGUUCUUUGAGCUGGGAUAUAGCAUGCAGGAGGACGGACGUGCAUAAGGAGGAAGCAGAGAGAAGCUGGGGGAGUGGAGAAGGGAUGACUUUCCUCUGAUGUCAAAAAUCCCAUCAUUCAGUGCUCGCAGGGAGAAAGACAAGAGGAGAAGAAUGUGGAGAGAAAGAGGGAGAGAGGGAGAAGAAAUGGAGGGAAGGGACGCACUCAUUUUUUCCCCUAAUUCUGCAGGGUAACGUUUACCACCCUCAUACAUGGAGAAAUGAGCCUGAUCUCGAGUGCCAAGUUCUGAGCAGCCUUGCAGCCCCAGGGACUGCUUACAUCCCCAUCCCGAUCUGGACUUGGACUGCAUGUGGGGAAAUCAAGACCUGAGCAGAUCCUUUUUUAUUUCCAUUCAAUCUCAGGGCGGUUCUUCUCAAACCAAAAGAAGCAGUCAGAAAGCACUGCUCGUCGAGUUGGGCCUAGCAAUAUGGCAGCGCACGUUCGGUAAGGAAUCUCAUCAAGUGCUGCUACGAGGACCAUGUGCUCUCUGCCCCAUUGCCUCGAGUGCACUGCAGGGUGAAGGCUUUUGGAAAGCUGGGGAUUCUCAUUGCACGCCGGCUCCUACCUAAAAGCUUUCCUGGUUGUGCACAGAUGCUGAACUCUUGCACCUCCUGUUCUUGGUCUGAAUUUUGGGCUCUGAGAACUGUGGAAAAGCUGAAUGCUAUCAAGGAAGAAAUGCUGUCAGGUAGCAGUGAGUUGGAGCUGGGGGAAUUUUCUGGAUCGGUUCGUGAAGCAAAAGGAUUCUUUCUCUUUAAAAAUAGAAUGACAAUAGCACCCGGCCCUGUAAUGACUUCUCUGAAAGUUAAAACAACUCAGAGGCAGUUGCUCUGCUUCCACCGGGCUGCCAGCAUGGAAACGAGACCACUUCUUGCGGGAUGGGGGUAUGUGUUUAUUGCACUGCUGUCUGCACACAAAAACUGCUCUUUCUUAACUUGCUGCACCGUUAGCGAUACGCUGCUGGUGUUGGCCAUGGCUCUUUCAGUGCUGUGUAACCACCAGCGAUUCUGCCCAGGGAAGUAGUUAGGAGAAAAAGGGAAAAAAAAAAACCCAAAAAACAACAAACCCGCUGAUCUCCUGCUUUCUUUUAUUUGUUUUAAAGUUGGUUUUGUUUUACUGAGGUUUUGAAGGAAACUGUAGCAACAGUGCUAAUGGUGUCGCAAAGCCAAGAGGCGGCUCUUCCCCCCUGGGGGAAGCGGUGUUGAGGUGCUGAGGGGCACGAAGGCUGCUGCCUGCUAACAGCUCUGACAUUUCAUUUGCAGAAAUGCUUUUCCUCUUUUAAAACAAAAACAAAACCAACAAACCAAAGCCCAAAGCCAAACCUAACAAAUUGCAGAAGAGACCCAUGCCUGUUGCCACAAACCCGUAGAUCCGAACUUGUGGUCAUAUUCCACACAAGCUUGUAUCUAUAGGUAUGUGUCUGUCUGGCAAGUGCACAAAGUGUUGUGUUUCUGCAUUUACACUGAUGAUGUUCCAUUCUGCUGUUUGUGUCUUUCGUCUAAUGCCUUCUUCCCUCCUCCUUUUUUUCUUUUUAAGAAAUGUAAAAGCAGAGCUGCAGAUCUCGCUCUGCAGUUACCGUAUCAGUUUCUGGCUUGGGUUAAUGUUAAAAUACCAACUAACAACUCAUUUGUGCCUGAACGAAAUGGGACGGGGGAGGUCUGUGACAUCAGCCUGAAGAAAUGAAAUCGCAGCGACGUUACACGUGGGUCUGGCUGUGGGGCAUGGGCAGGGGUGGUUCUGAGGUUGCUGGGAGCAGAGAAAGCUGUUUCAUUUAUCAAGUGAGGGGGAUCCAUUCUUUGCUCAGUGGCGAUUUGUUUGUGGGAGCAAGAGGUGCUUCUGUUCUGUUCUUUAUUUUGGGUAACUUCAGUCCCUGUGCACAGUGCAGCUCAGUGCCAGAGCCGCCCGUUGGCUCUCCGUCUCCUUUCUCUCUCUAAAAUCAGCUCGGUAUAGAAGCCAGGUUCUCUUAAUUUUGUGGUAUUUAUUUCGUUUUAAAUGGUUUUUAAAGUAGAGCAGGGGAAAAACCCAUGUAAGCACGCAGUAAUGAAACCUGCUGGGCAAAACUGACAUUUCUAAGUGGAACAAUUACUUUUGAAGAAGUUUUUUUCAACCCCAACAUACAGAUCCUAUGUGAAAAUAAUUAGAAUGUGAACUCAAAAUAAAGUCUGACUGUUUCUUUCCAGUGUUAAUUUCACCAAAGAUUUGGUCUGUAUUUCCACUUCUAAAUUUCUCUGUUUUUGAACUUGGCUGGUUUGACACACGCUGCUGCGGUCCAAAAAUGGUUUUUGGUUUUUUUUUUUUCCCCCUGUCUUGCUGAAUUUCCAGGGUUUUCUGUGUGUUUUCUGCUUAAUGUAGAUGCAUAAAACAAUGGCAGAGAGCUAACAAGAACUGCAGUCUAACUGCUUUUGUUUCUUCGUGUGGAUUGAAACUAGCAAGAGGUGACCGAGAAGGAUGCAGGAUGCU